GGCUAUAGUCAUACCACCCUGAAUGUAGCUGAUCUCAUCCGAUCCCAGAAGCUAAGCUGGGUUGGGCCUAGUUAGUACUUGGGUGGAGGAGAGUACCCUCCACAGAGUCU
ensembl:rRNA 5S_rRNA 5S ribosomal RNA